GACGAACGCUGGCGGCGUGCUUAACACAUGCAAGUCGAACGGAAAGGCCUGCUUUCCCUUGUGGAUUGCGGGUGCUCGAGUGGCGAACGGGUGAGUAACACGUGAGUGAUCUGCCCCCAACUUGGGUAUAAGCCUGGGAAACUGGGUCUAAUUCCCGAUAGGACUGCAGGGUGGUGCCUGUGGUGGAAAACGAUUUUCUAGUGGUUGGGGAUGAGCUCGCGGCCUAUCAGCUUGUUGGUGGGGUAAUGGCCUACCAAGGCGGCGACGGGUAGCCGGCCUGAGAUGGUGGACGGCCACAUUGGGACUGAGAAACGGCCCAGACUCCUACGCGAGGCAGCAGUGGGGAAUAAUGCACAAUGGGCGGAAGCCUGAUGCAGCGGCGCCGCGUGGGGGAUGACGGCCGUCGGGUUGUAAACUCCUUUCGACCGCGAGGAAGCCACCUGGUUGGAAGGGUGGUGACGGUAGUGGUAGAAGAAGCACCGGCUAACUACGUG
rnacentral:rRNA from 1 species